rnacentral:rRNA from 1 species
GGCCGCGGUAUUCUAACCGUGCAAAGGUAGCGUAAUCAUUUGUCUUCUAAAUAAAGACCAGUAUGAACGGCUAAAUGAGGACAGACCUGUCUCUUAAGACUAAUCAGUGAAACUGAUCUCCCAGUCCAAAAGCUGGGAUAAACCCAUUAGACGAGAAGACCCUGUGGAGCUUUAAACCACCUACUAACAAGCACUCAAUGCACCUAGUAUCCGGUUUUAAGUUGGGGCGACUUCGGAACAAAGCCAAACUUCCAAGAACAGGACCACACACUCCAGCCACGGCCAACAAGCCUAGGUUAAACAACAUUAGACCCAGUACCACUGAUCAACGAACCAAGUUACCCCAGGGAUAACAGCGCAAUCUUCUUCAAGAGUCCAUAUCGACAAGAAGGUUUACGACCUCGAUGUUGGAUCAGGACACCCAAAUGGUGCAGCCGCUAUUAAAGGUUCGUUUGUUCAACGAUUAACAGUCCU